GCAGACGGUUGAUUCGUCCCGGUGCAGGAAACGCGUGGACAUAAGGAAACGGAACCAAGCAGGAAAUACCUGGUCGGGAUGGCGGAGC
ncrna:[Clostridium] clostridioforme 90A8 RAGATH-28 RNA